UCUCCGUUGGUGAACCAGCGGAGGGAUCAUUACCGAGUUAUACAACUCCCAAACCCACUGUGAACCUUACCUCAGUUGCCUCGGCGGGACCGCCCCGGCCGCCGCGCAAGCGGCGCCGGACUCCAAGGCGCCCGCCGCAGGGACCCAAAACUCUUUUGCAUUACGCCCAACGGCGGGAAUUUUUUUCUCUGAGUGCAUAAGCAAAACAAAUGAAUCAAAACUUUCAACAACGGAUCUCUUGGUUCUG
rnacentral:misc_RNA from 1 species